ensembl:lncRNA
GUUUACAGGAAGGCAAACACACAGUGGCUGACAAGGGGAGAAUCGAAUGCAGUAACUUGCUCACACAGGCUGAUAAGAGAGAUUCUGUGAUGCAUGCGGUGGGGAAUGGGAGCUGUAUUUAUGAAAAUACACGACUCCUACGCUUCAGCUGACCUUGAGAAUAACUAGUUUUUUUUGUACUUUCUGUGUGGUUCAAAGUAAGUGAACCGAGAACUCAUUUUCAGAUUCAGAAAGUACUGCAUAAUAACGUGUCUACUGUAUAUUUCAUGUACGCUUUUGCUUUGAUUGUCAUAUCUAAAGAAAUAAUAAGUCACUGAACCAACAAGGUAAUAAAUUAAUAAACCCAUGUAACAAAAUGAAGCUACAUAAUUAUACGAUGAUAUAACAUAAUGAAACUAUGCCUAUCCGUGCAUUUUCUAAUCAUGAAACGCAUGGGGAGACGUGUUUUUUCCAGGGUUUUAUGAUCUACUGCACUGGGGGAGAAAUGCAUACAAGAUAAGAGAUGCACGUGAGGCUUUGAAUGGUCGUAAAGCAUUCCUGUUGCACAACUAGUUGUUGUAUAUAACAGGGCCCAGACCCCUGUCCUUUGCACAGUUACUCUUUUACUUGAUGCUGGAUUGCAUAAAGACGAGCAAAACAAGUAGACCACGAUGGCAAAACACAAUCCGGGGCGUCUUGCUGCAAUACUCGUGUCUGUUGCUGGUUUUGCAGUAAGUUUGGUGCUCAAUGGACUGUCUGUAGUUGGAAUUGGUCCUUAUUAUACCACUACAGCAAACGUGUCUGCUGUGUUUGACACCCAGCUCACACCUUCAGGAUGGACCUUUAACAUCUGGAGUGUCAUCUACGUCUGGCUCACGUUGAUGAUCAUCUACAUCGUGACGAGUCUUUGCAGAAAGAAUGGAUAUGGAUAUGUUUACUGCAGCCCUGCAGUGCUGCCUUAUGGAUUCUUCGCUAGCUGGUGUGUCAAUCUGUGUUUCAACAUUGGCUGGCUGCUUGUUUGGGACAGAGGACAGAUGAUUCCUGCACUGAUUUUUCUCAUCCUGGUCAUCGCCACAAACUACUCCAUGGUGUUCUACAUCUGCCAUGGACUUCAUCUUUAUGGACCCUGGCUCAAAAAAUACCACAAAGCAGACCUGUGGUGCCUCCGUAUUUUGGUUCAGAACGGUGUGAUGAUCUACACGACAUGGACAACCAUCGCAACACUCAUCAACGUGACCAUUGUGCUUACUUACAAUGCAAAGAUGUCCCCAACAGACGCUGCCACUAUCUCAUACUCUGUUUUAUGUGCUGUGUUGCUUGUGUGGUUUGUUUUGGAAAACUUGGUUCUUGACAAGCAUGUGCGGUACAUCCUCAUAGUCUACCCUGUUCUGAUCUGGGCGCUGUCUGGAAACCUGGAUAAAAACUUUGAUGCUCAGUCACCCAGUCGCAAUGGCAUCUUCAUCGCCGUGCUGCUGAGUUUAAGCUGUGUGCUCUUUGUCAUCCGGCUCAUUCUGGUGAUGUGGAGACACGUCAAACAGCCGCUCUAUGAAGAUGUCGAUCCUGAAGCCAUGGAACCAAAGGAGAUUGCUAAGAAGCAGAAAAAGAUAUUUCGCUAAGCAUUUUUAAUGCAUCGCACAACUCAUGUAUAAAGGUUCAUUAUAGAAAUUGAUGCUAAAUUUGAUGAAUUUUUUUCCCCCCAGUGUUUUGUAGAUAGUCAUGAAAGAAAGUGUUUUAUUUUGUAAAUGGUGAUACGUUAAAAUGGGUAACUGGCAUAAUUUUCUCAGAUUUUAUCAACAACAAUUUCCUCAAUUUUGACCGACUGAUCUAUGAACCUUCUAUGACUUUUUUCUAAGAAACAGAUUACUAAAACAUGCAUUAGGCUCAGAUAAGAAGCCUAUUACAUAUAACAGUACAAAGUGGCAGAAAUAUUACAGUAAUUUACCUCACAUGACUGACUGAAUGAUUUAAUCAUUUGCAAGAGUUGUUUUUGCUUUAUUUUCUAACUUACAUUCCAAAAUAAACUGUAUUUGUGUCAUCUUGGUAUAUAUAUUUUUUGAAAUAAAGUGCACAUCUUACUUAUCAACUGCUGUGAAGAUUUCGCAAUGUGGACUUUGUUUUUUACUCUAAUGUGCCAGACUAGCAAGAAUGUAACAACAACAAAUAUCGGUUUCUGUUCAAGUACAAGUUUUAUCAGCAAUAUCAGAUAUAUUUUCUGGAUUAAGACCUUUUGCCAAUUUGUAAGUUAAGUUGUUACUGCUAUCAAGUGAUUGAAGUAAUUGAAACAAACUAUGCAACAAGUAAAAAAUUUACCAAAAUGAGCAUAAUUUAAAAAUGUUAUGUUAGUGUAUAUUUUCAAGCAUUUAUAAGAACCCCAGUUCUGUCAACAUUUUGUAUGCCACAAGUGAUUUUUUCGCUUUUGUGUGUGGAGUUGAUAUCAAUAAACUGCAGGGGGCGACAAAGCAAGCGUCAA